CUGCUGUGUAUAUCUAUUCCAUAUUUGCCUGGGUCAGUCUUUGCUUCAGGAUGAUCAUCGCUCUGGAGAGAUGUUUCUCCAUCUCCUGCCCGACGUCAAACUGCAUCACACAAACCAAAGGUUUUGUGAUUGUCAGCGUUUUGGUCUGGGUGUUUUGUAUUGUUUUUGUCCCUCUAUCCGUUUUACUUCAACAGGAAUUAUCCUACCUAAUCCUUAUGCUUCUGCCUUCCCCAGUUUUUGUUGUCUGUUUACUUUAUUUUCUCAAAUCACAAGCUAAAAAUAUUUCAUU